AUUUUGGCCAACUCUGACCCCUUAGGUUGAUACCAGAAUGAGAUACCAACCUAAGUGGUCAGAGCUGGCAAAAAU
ensembl:miRNA